rnacentral:rRNA from 1 species
AGUGAACGCUGGCGGCGUGCCUAAUACAUGCAAGUCGAACGAAGUGGCGCACGGGUGAGUAAUAUAUAGUUAAUCUGCCCUCCACAGAGGAACAACAGUUGGAAACGACUGCUAAUACCUCCUAGUGUAGGAUGAGACUAUAUCGUAUCAGCUAGUUGUGAAGGUAAUGGCUUACCAAGGCUAUGACGCGUAACUGGUCCGAGAGGAUGAUCAGUCACAUUGGAACGGAGGCACGGUGCAGACACCUUCGGGAGGGAGCGGUAGGGUGUAGUGGGCACAGGGCGAAGGCCAGGCGGAGCUACGCCGCGUGGAGGAUGACACUUUUCGGAGCGUAAACGCCUAAUAUCAGGUGAGCGGGACCUGAUGAAUAAGCACCGGCUAACUCCGUGCCAGCAGCCGCGGUAAUUC